GUGCCAGCCGCCGCGGUAAGACGAACCACACAAACAUUAUUCGGAAUUACUGGGCUUAAAGGGUGCGUAGGCGGCGCGGAAAGUUGGGUGUGAAAUACCUCGGCUCAACCGAGGAACUGCGCCCAAAACUACCGUGCUCGAGGAAGAUAGAGGUGAGCGGAACUUACGGUGGAGCGGUGAAAUGCGUUGAUAUCGUAAGGAACACCUGUGGCGAAAGCGGCUCACUGGGUCUUUUCUGACGCUGAUGCACGAAAGCUAGGGGAGCAAACGGGAUUAGAAACCCUUGUAGUCC
rnacentral:rRNA from 1 species